rnacentral:rRNA from 1 species
CCUACGGGAGGCAGCAGUGGGGAAUAUUGGGCAAUGGGCGCAAGCCUGACCCAGCAAUGCCGCGUGAAGGAAGAAGGCUUUCGGGUUGUAAACUUCUUUGACAGGGGAAGAGCAGAAGACGGUACCCUGAAAACAAGCCACGGCUAACUACGUGCCAGCAGCCGCGGUAAUACGUAGGUGGCAAGCGUUGUCCGGAUUUACUGGGUGUAAAGGGCGUGUAGCCGGGAAGGCAAGUCCGAUGUGAAAUCUGGAGGCUCAACCUCCAAAUUGCAUUUGAAACUGUUUUUCUUGAGUACUGGAGAGGCAGACGGAAUUCCUUGUGUAGCGGUGAAAUGCGGAGAUAUAAGGAGGAAAACCAGGGGCGAAGGCGGUCUGCUGGACAGCAACUGACGGGGAGGCGCGAAAGCGUGGGGAGCAAACAGGAUUAGAUACCCCAGUAGUC